GACGAACGCUGGCGGCGUGCUUAACACAUGCAAGUCGAACGGAAAGGCCCUGCUUUUGUGGGGUGCUCGAGUGGCGAACGGGUGAGUAACACGUGAGUAACCUGCCCUUGACUUUGGGAUAACUUCAGGAAACUGGGGCUAAUACCGGAUAGGAGCUCCUGCUGCAUGGGGGGGGUUGGAAAGUUUCGGCGGUUGGGGAUGGACUCGCGGCUUAUCAGCUUGUUGGUGGGGUAGUGGCUUACCAAGGCUUUGACGGGUAGCCGGCCUGAGAGGGUGACCGGCCACAUGGGGACUGAGAUACGGCCCAGAAUCCUACGGGAGGCAGCAGUGGGGAAUAUUGCACAAUGGGCGGAAGCCUGAUGCAGCAACGCCGCGUGCGGGAUGACGGCCUUCGGGUUGUAAACCGAUUUCGCCUGUGACGAAGCGUGAGUGACGGUAAUGGGUAAAGAAGCACCGGCUAACUACGUG
rnacentral:rRNA from 1 species